GAUGGCCAGGCUGUCUCCACCCGAGACUCAGUGAAAUUGAACUCGCUGUGAAGAUGCAGUGUACCCGCGGCAAGACGGAAAGACCCCGUGAACCUUUACUAUAGCUUGACACUGAACAUUGAGCCUUGAUGUGUAGGAUAGGUGGGAGGCUUUGAAGUGUGGACGCCAGUCUGCAUGGAGCCGACCUUGAAAUACCACCCUUUAAUGUUUGAUGUUCUAACGUGGGCCCCUUACCGGGGUUGCGGACAGUGUCUGGUGGGUAGUUUGACUGGGGCGGUCUCCUCCUAAAGAGUAACGGAGGAGCACGAAGGUUGGCUAAUCCUGGUCGGACAUCAGGAGGUUAGUGCAAUGGCAUAAGCCAGCUUGACUGCGAGCGUGACGGCGCGAGCAGGUGCGAAAGCAGGUCAUAGUGAUCCGGUGGUUCUGAAUGGAAGGGCCAUCGCUCAACGGAUAAAAGGUACUCCGGGGAUAACAGGCUGAUACCGCCCAAGAGUUCAUAUCGACGGCGGUGUUUGGCACCUCGAUGUCGGCUCAUCACAUCCUGGGGCUGAAGUAGGUCCCAAGGGUAUGGCUGUUCGCCAUUUAAAGUGGUACGCGAGCUGGGUUUAGAACGUCGUGAGACAGUUCGGUCCCUAUCUGCCGUGGGCGCUGGAGAACUGAGGGGGGCUGCUCCUAGUACGAGAGGACCGGAGUGGACGCAUCACUGGUGUUCGGGUUGUCAUGCCAAUGGCACUGCCCGGUAGCUAAAUGCGGAAGAGAUAAGUGCUGAAAGCAUCUAAGCACGAAACUUGCCCCGAGAUGAGUUCUCCCUGACUCCUUGAGAGUCCUGAAGGAACGUUGAAGACGACGACGUUGAUAGGCCGGGUGUGUAAGCGCAGCGAUGCGUUGAGCUAACCGGUACUAAUGAACCGUGAGGCU
rnacentral:rRNA from 1 species